rnacentral:lncRNA from 1 species
AAGGAUGAGGCCCAGGCUCCGGGCAGGAGAGGAGCUGCCGAGAAGUGCCCACGUAAGUGUUUCCCUUGGUAUAAGCAGAGGAGGGAUGUGUCUGGGACAGGCUCAAACCUCUGCCCUCCUUCCAGACGCCAAGGGUGUCAUGCUGUGACACCUACAAGCCUUGGGGUGAGGGCAGUGGGAGGGAAGAGAGGAAGCGAUGAGUGAGCUCUGUGGAAGUCGUUUUGGGGAAACCUGAGACAUCCAUCAAAAGGACACGCAGUCACUAGAGUGCAGCUGAAGAUGGGGUGGCCGAGCGUCAGUGUUGGGGAGCUCUGAUGUGCGACCGUCGAUGCCAGAAGACUCACGGCUAUAUUCCACAGUGUUUAUGGUGCCAGAAGAAUAUCCUUCGGUGAACAAGAGCAUAUGUAUAACCAGUUUCACCACAGAGGGGCACUUCCCCAGGAUGGUCCUGUGGGAACUUCCCUUUCCAAUUAAUUUACCUGACGAGGUACCCACACCCGGAUGGCGGGCCAAGAGAACACAGAGCCAGGAUCUGCUGUGCAGCCCAGGUUCUCAGGUGAUUCACCGCUGUGUUUUCGCCUCUGGGAGCUGUGUGGCGGCCUCUCCCAGGCUGUCCUGCCCGAAAGUGAGAUAUCGUCAUUCAUAUUCUGUAAGCCUGGAAAAGAAGGCGA